GCCAGCAUGAUGUAGUGGUUUGAGCAUUGGACUAUGACUCCGGAGACCAGGGUUCGAAUCCCUGCUCAGCCA